AGAUUGAACGCUGGCGGCAUGCUUUACACAUGCAAGUCGAACGGUAACAGGCCGCAAGGUGCUGACGAGUGGCGAACGGGUGAGUAAUGCAUCGGAACGUGCCCAGUCGUGGGGGAUAACGCAGCGAAAGCUGUGCUAAUACCGCAUACGAUCUAUGGAUGAAAGCGGGGGACCGAAAGGCCUCGCGCGAUUGGAGCGGCCGAUGUCAGAUUAGCUAGGUUGGUAGGGGUAAACGCCCACCGAAGGCGAACGAUCGUGUAGC
rnacentral:rRNA from 1 species